UACGAAGGGGGCUAGCGUUGCUCGGAAUUACUGGGCGUAAAGCGCACGUAGGCGGCUUAUUAAGUCGGGGGUGAAAUCCUGGAGCUCAACUCCAGAACUGCCUUCGAUACUGAUGAGCUUGAGUUCGGGAGAGGUGAGUGGAACUGCGAGUGUAGAGGUGAAAUUCGUAGAUAUUCGCAAGAACACCAGUGGCGAAGGCGGCUCACUGGCCCGAUACUGACGCUGAGGUGCGAAAGCGUGGGGAGCGAACAGG
rnacentral:rRNA from 1 species